rnacentral:tRNA from 8 species
GCCCCCUUAGCUCAGCUGGCCAGAGCGUCUGUCUUGUAAACUGAAGGUCACCGGUUCGAAUCCGGUAGGGGGCUCCA